rnacentral:rRNA from 1 species
UACAGAGGGUGCAAGCGUUGUUCGGAUUUACUGGGCGUAAAGCGCGUGUAGGCGGUGGCGUAAGUCGGAUGUGAAAUCCCUCGGCUCAACCGAGGACGUGCAUCCGAUACUGCGUCACUUGAGUGUCGGAGGGGAUGGCGGAAUUCCUGGUGUAGCGGUGAAAUGCGCAGAUAUCAGGAGGAACACCGGUGGCGAAGGCGGAUCUCUGGGCCAUUACUGACGCUGAGGAGCGAAAGCGUGGGGAGCGAACAGG